CCUACACUUGUGAAUUAGUAGGAAGCAUAAUGGGAACGACUGUGUCAGCUUGCUUCCUUUUAUUCGUUCUCCAAGUAACAGCCCAAAACAGUCAGUUGCAGCAGAAAGUCAACCGGCUUGAAAGGAAGAUUGCUGAUAUGGAGCAAGAAAUUAAACUGUUGACAGCAUCAAAAAGAGGUGCUGAUGGCCCAUCUGGUCUUCCUGGACGUGACGGACGAGACGGUAU